rnacentral:rRNA from 1 species
UACAGAGGAUGCAAGCGUUAUCCGGAAUGAUUGGGCGUAAAGCGUCUGUAGGUGGCUUUUUAAGUCCGCCGUCAAAUCCCAGGGCUCAACUCUGGACAGGCGGUGGAAACUACCAAGCUGGAGUACGGUAGGGGCAGAGGGAAUUUCCGGUGGAGCGGUGAAAUGUGUUGAUAUCGGGAGGAACGCCGGUGGCGAAAGCGAUCCGCUGGACCUCUUCUGACACUGAGGCGCGAAAGCCAGGGGAGCAAACGGG